rnacentral:rRNA from 1 species
AUGAGUUGCAUGAGCUGGAACUGCCGCGGGCUUGGGAACCCAGAGGCAGUUCGCGAGCUUCGCAAUGUUGUGAAGCAAGAAGGUCCCAGUCUCCUCUUUCUGAUGGAGACCAAGAUUUAGGCAAAGAGAGUGGAGAGCUUGCAGAACCAGCUUGGUUUUGCGGGCUGUUUUAUAGUAAACAGCAAUGGUUUGAGUGGGGGCAUCGGUAUGUUCUGGUCAGCGGAUAUGGAUGUGGAAUUGAAAAAUUAUAGCGCAGUGCAUAUUGAUGUCAAGGUCAGCAAGAAAGCUCGAAGCUCGGUUGAGUGGAGAGUGACAGGUUUCUAUGGAGCUCCACGGGAGGAAGAUAGACGCCAUAGUUGGAGGUUCCUUUGCAAUUUGUUUGAAAUCCAACAUGAUGCUUGGCUGUGUGUUGGGGAUUUCAAUGAAACAAUGUUUGCCUCUGAACACUUUUCUCGUGUCGAAUGA